CAAAAGAGCAGAACAAUACUAUCAAAGAAAUAAAAGCUGAGAAUUUCUCAAAUUUGAUUGAAGUAGCACUACUCUACACCUGUAAGAAGGUGAACUACAAGUAGGUUAAAAGUAAAAAAGAAAACCCAAAUCCAGGCACAUCAUAGCCAAAAUCUUGAAAGUCAAAGAUAAAGAAAGCAUAUUGAUAGGAGCAAGAAAAAAAUGACCCAUCAUAUAAAAGGGAGCAAGAAGAUGAUUAACAGCUAACUUCUUAUCAGAAAGAAUAUGGAGGCCAAAUCCGUGGUAUAAGAUAUUCCAUAUACUGAAAGAAAAAGAUUUCAACCAAGAACUUUAUACCCAGAAUUAUAUCUUCACAAAUUGAAGGCAAAAUAAAGAUAUUCUUUGGGGCAAACAUACUAAGAGAACUUUUUUCUAGAAUGCCUUGACCUUGCCUUGCAAGAAACACUAAUGGGAGUUUUCUUGACGAAAGCAGGCAGUAAUUUGCAUCCAAGUGAAAAAACAGAGAGUGCCCUCAGCUUCUGGAAUGACAGCAUGAGGAGUUUCACUGACCCACCUCCAGUAAACUGGUGUAAAUUAUUUUAAAAAAAGAGUAAUGUCUCUGGAAAGCAUCUUAAGAAAAAACAGCAAAUGAAGAAUAAUUUAUUCAAUAGAUCUAAAAAAUUCUAUAGAAACACAAGAGUCUGCAGUAUUUGAACCAACAUGCCCUGCCCUCUCCCAGGUAAACAGGGUGGAGCCUCCACUCCAGGCUGCUUUAGCCAAGAACACAGCCAUCCUCUUCACCCAGCUCCCAGGGGUAGGGUUUUCUUCCAAGACAGAGCAGGAUGGCAGCAUUUCUCUUUUUACCUCUGUCUGCCUGUUGCUGGCUAAUUCCUGAGAGAGGGCAUUCUACAAGUGGGACUACCUUCUUCCACCCAACUCCCAGUUGUGGAAUGGAGGCUCCCCCUUCGGUGUGGCAUACUGUGAAUACUGCAUGCCUUCGGCCCUUCCCCAGCUCAUGAGGUAAUGACUCCACAGCAGGAGAGGCAAGCCAAUGAAACUGAGGCCACUGCUGCAGCUCCACUGAGUGCUUAGAUCCCACAGUGUGAGUGGCACGCAGAGAGAAGCUUGCCAUUGUCCCCACCUCGGGCUCCAGAUGCCAAAAACAUUAACAGCCAGUAUCUAAGCAGAAAAAAUGGGGCCAGAAUGCAGUAGGAAAACAUAUACAAAGUGCUCACAGAGAAAACUGUCAACCAAGAACCCAUACCCAGUAAAGCGACGAUUCAAAGAUGAGGCUGAACAAAUGACUUUUACAGAUACACAAAAACCAAAGUUAUUAUUGCUGGCAGAUCCACAUUAUAAGAAAUACUAAACUGUGUUCUUUAUGCUGAAAGAAAAUUACCAAGGAUGGUAAUUGGAAUCCACAUGAAAGAAAAAAAGGACACCAGGAAAGGUAGCCCAAAGUUAAUGGGCUACAUCUCUCUGUGAAUCAUCCAAACACUGUACUAAUUCACAAGAAGAUCUAAGAAAACCACAUCAAUCAUUUGUACUCAGCAUAAUUAGAAGACUGAAAAAAAUACUAACUUCACUUUUCCUGUAUGUACAAAGAUAAUCUCCAAAUUUUAGUAGGAUUAUUACUUGAACUCCUAGUACAGGCAAGAAGCUUGCAAAGAGCAAGUUUGUGGGGGACACGAAGGGAUGGAAGAGAAGUCACAGAAGAAAAAAGAAAAGCUGCAAAAAACUGCAAAGAGAGAAGGAAACUGGGAAUUGGAGAUUGAGCUAAAAUCUCCUGAAAAGGAGAAAGCCCAUCGUUCCUGCAAAAGAACUGUAAAAAAAGCGGUAGAAGAGGACAUGUUGACAGGGAAGAAAAUUGAAAGUGAGACUCAAGGUGGGAGUCUCAAAAGGUGAUCACUUCCUAGUGAAAAGAAAAUAAAAAAUUGGGGAGAGUCACAUGAACACGGGCAUCAUUCAGAGACAGGAGAGUGAAUAAAAAGAAGCAAAUGGGGGAAUCUCUAGAAUAAUAAUGCAAUACAAAAGAGAACCAAACAUGAUCAAAGCAUAUAACACACACGCAUGCACCUGCCCCAGCACACACACACACCAUCACCUCCUGGAAGUAACCACAUUUUACU
rnacentral:lncRNA from 1 species